rnacentral:rRNA from 1 species
CAGCCGCCACGGUAAAACGUAGGUGGCAAGCGUUGUCCGGAAUUAUUGGGCGUAAAGGGCUCGCAGGCGGUUUCUUAAGACUGAUGUGAAAGCCCCCGGCUCAACCGGGGAGGGUCAUUGGAAACUGGGAAACUUGAGUGCAGAAGAGGAGAGUGGAAUUCCACGUGUAGCGGUGAAAUGCGUAGAGAUGUGGAGGAACACCAGUGGCGAAGGCGACUCUCUGGUCUGUAACUGACGCUGAGGAGCGAAAGCGUGGGGAGCGGCCAGGAUUAGAUACCCGUGUAGUCCCUGUCUCUUAUAC